UACGUAGGGUGCGAGCGUUGUCCGGAAUUAUUGGGCGUAAAGGGCUCGUAGGCGGUUUGUCGCGUCGGGAGUGAAAACCAUGAGCUUAACUCAUGGCUUGCUUUCGAUACGGGCAGACUAGAGGUAUGCAGGGGAGAACGGAAUUCCUGGUGUAGCGGUGAAAUGCGCAGAUAUCAGGAGGAACACCGGUGGCGAAGGCGGUUCUCUGGACAGUUCCUGACGCUGAGGCACGAAGGUCAGGGGAGCAAACGGG
rnacentral:rRNA from 1 species